rnacentral:rRNA from 1 species
UACGGAGGGGGCUAGCGUUGUUCGGAAUUACUGGGCGUAAAGCGCACGUAGGCGGCUUUGUAAGUUAGAGGUGAAAGCCCGGGGCUCAACCCCGGAACUGCCUUUAAGACUGCAUCGCUUGAAUCCGGGAGAGGUGAGUGGAAUUCCGAGUGUAGAGGUGAAAUUCGUAGAUAUUCGGAAGAACACCAGUGGCGAAGGCGGCUCACUGGACCGGUAUUGACGCUGAUGUGCGAAAGCGUGGGGAGCAAACAGG